rnacentral:rRNA from 1 species
UACGCAGGGGGCAAGCGUUGUCCGGAAUCAUUGGGCGUAAAGCGCGCGUAGGCGGCCCUGUAAGUCCGUUGUGAAAGUCAAAGGCUCAACCUUUGAAAGCCGAUGGAUACUGCAGGGCUAGAGUCCGGAAGAGGCGAGUGGAAUUCCUGGUGUAGCGGUGGAAUGCGCAGAUAUCAGGAGGAACACCAAUAGCGAAGGCAGCUCGCUGGGACGGUACUGACGCUAAGGCGCGAAAGCGUGGGGAGCGAACAGG